UACGUAGGUGGCAAGCGAUACUCGGAAUCACUAGGCGUAAAGCGCAGGUAGGCGGUUUGGUAAGUCUUUUGUGAAAGCUCCCGGCUCAACUGGGAGAGGUCAAGGGAAACUACCGGACUAGAGUGUGGUAGGGGAUACUGGAAUUCCUGGUGUAGCGGUGAAAUGCGUAGAUAUCAGGAGGAAUACCGAUGGCGAAAGCAGGUAUCUGGGCCAUCACUGACGCUGAGCUGCGAAAGCUAGGGGAGCAAACAGG
rnacentral:rRNA from 1 species